rnacentral:rRNA from 1 species
GACGAAGGGGGCUAGCGUUGUUCGGAAUUACUGGGCGUAAAGCGAGUGUAGGUGGUUUUCCAAGUUGGAUGUGAAAGCCUUGAGCUCAACUCAAGAAAUGCAUUCAGGACUGGGAGACUAGAGGACCGGAGAGGAUAGUGGAAUUCCCAGUGUAGUGGGGAAAUACGUAGAGAUUGGGAAGAACACCAGUGGCGAAGGCGGCUAUCUGGACGGUUUCUGACACUAAGACUCGAAAGCGUGGGGAGCAAACAGG